UCAAAAUAGGUACUUUUUAUGUUAUAUUUGCAUUUUAAAUACAAGUAUUUCAAAUAAAUCACAUCUUUGGCAAGAUGCUGUAUAAGAUAUUUACUAUGAUUAAAAAGAGUGCAUCUGUCAGCAACUUUUCUGUCUUUUUCAUCAAGGGGUGCAUUAUCAACCCCCAAAAAGGCAUGCUUUAUACGUAAAAUUGCAGAACCCCUGCUAUCACGAACUCCCAGUCUAGUAUGUUCUAUCUGUUUUUCUCAAGCAAAAUAAGCAAACAUCUCCUUUUUAUCUAAACGAAAAUAUGAAAGAACAUUAUAGGGAUUUACCUACUUGUACAAAUAGUUUCUAACUAAUCUGAUAAAUUAAUUAUUUACAAAAUUUGUACGAUGAACCCUAUUUUUUAUUUUGUAUGUGCAUUUUAAAUGCAAGUAUUUCAAGUAAAUCACAUCUCUGCUCUGGAUGUACGUUCCUUGGGGAUUAGGAGUUUGGCAAGGCAAUAAUGAUGCCUCAAGAAGGUGAAAUGGACGUUAAUCAUUACAAUAAAUAGAUUGAUGAUAAAUAAGAAUGGAAGAGUGUUCAUUUUGAUGCAACUGAAAAAGCUAGUUGUCUGCCAUGUUCGUUUCAUUUUGGAGGAUCUAAUCAAUCACGGAACAUUAAAAAAAAACCCUGGAUAGCAUUAAUUUACAGUGCCUUAGUUGUGUCUGCGUUCAUUCGGUUCAGAAAGUAGCUGUCCUAAAAAGAAUCACAAAAGUGCCUUUUUUUCGAUUACGAACGAAUACAGUGUGGCAUUGCUGAAGGAAGGAUUUAUGACAAAUGAACUGAUUGUCCAAGUGAGAAGAAAUUACAGCUAAUUCUGAUGGUACUGAAAGAGUCGAUGCUUUUGAUGUCUUACCCUUGCAACAUAAUUUUGAACCUGAGAAGGGGAGGCAUUUGAAAAUUACUUUGGAAACGACUGAAACAACAACUUGUCUGCAGUGAUAUUCCUCCUGGAUUUGGCUUGUUAAUUCUACCUGUGGACCUUAGGAAGCUACUUUCUGCAGUUAUUUAAGAUUGCCCAACAAAUGAGUUCAGUUUGGCGCUACUCGAACAACCGUCUACAUGGGUGUGGUCUUUUCUGGACUUUGUUCCUGAUUUGAUAUUUUCAUCUUCACUUCGCAACACUAUGCAGUUGAUUUUCGACCGAUUAGUGGGAGCAACUAAGGAUCUAUUUGAUUUCAAAUGGAACAACAAAAUUUCUGCUAUG